rnacentral:lncRNA from 10 species
UAAAGUUCAAUUAUUAAAAUUCACUAAUAUUUUAAGUACCCCCCCCCAACCCCAAACCUAUCUCUGGAAACAUGUAGUCUGUAUUUUCUGUUGUGGGCUCCAGACAUAGCAGUGACUUCUUGGAAAGAUUAUUAAACCUAUGAUUAUUGGGUUUGAAAAAGACUAUUUUGGGAUCACCUCUUUCUGAAAGAAAACUUUAAUAAUAUUACUUCCUAUAAUCGUAAUAGGAGUGCUGGGCAUGGUGGCUCACGCCUGUAAUACAGCACUUUUGGAGGCCAAGGGAGGAGGAUCACUUGAGUCCAGGAGUUCGAGACCAGCCUGGGCAACAUGGUGAAACCCCAUCUCUACAGAAAAUACAAAAAUUAGCCCAGCGUGGUAGUGCGUCCCUGUAGUCCCAGCUACUCAGGAGGCUGAGGCUGGAGAAUCACUUGUACCUGGGAGGUGGAGGUUGCAGUGAGCUGUGAUUGCACCACUUCCAGCUUGGGUGACAGAGCGAGACUCAGUCUCAAAAAACAACAACAGAAAAUCAUAAUAGGAAUAUUAUUACUUGGAGUUAAUAUGCUGAAAUAUACAUAACUUUUUUGUAUGAUACUGAAUCCGCCUCAUCUUAUGUAUUUAUCACUAAUUCAGUAAAAUCUUUUCAAAAGUAAAAUUUAAGCAAUUCCUUUAUACCAUGACUGUAACCUUAAAUCUAUUUCAAAUGCUUCUAGGAUAUAUUACAUUUCAAUAAGAAUGCAUUUUACCCCCACUAAUGACAAAUGUAAGCAUAAAAUUUUAGAGGUGAAAUGGACUUUGUAAAUCAUCUGUUGUCACUGUUUUAUAUUCUAGAAGAGGAUAAGGGUCACAGGAGUUAAAGAUAAUUCCAAAGUAUUAAAGGGCAGACAUGGAGCUUACAUCUCCAGAUCAUUUAACUUCAAAUUAAGUGCUUUUUCUACUGGUUGGUCCCUGGGUUUAUUCUACACAAAUAAGGAAAGUUUCAGGUCUUAGGUAAUUCAGUUUUCAAGGAUAUGUGAAAUUUGAACAUUCAAUUACUCAAAUCAAACAAAAUAUCAAUAACUAGUGGUCCCCCAAAGAGAAUGUUAGCCAGUAAUUAUUGGUAUCAAAUUCUCCCCAAUUAAAUCUAAAGAAUUUUCAAGUUUUUGUUUUGUAUUAGUUUAAGUAUUUCCUAAGGAAGCUUUAAGUAUAACCACCUGAUUUGGAUUGUAAGGAAAAG